AUUGAACGCUGGCGGCAGGCCUAACACAUGCAAGUCGAGCGAGCGGCGGACGGGUGAGUAAUGUAUGGGGACUGCCCGAUAGAGGGGGAUAACUACUGGAAACGGUGGCUAAUACCGCAUACUAUCGGAUAACCCAUAUGGGAUUAGCUAGUAGGUGGGGUAAAGGCUCACCUAGGCGACGAUCUCUAGCUGGUCUGAGAGGAUGAUCAGCCACACUGGGUCUGAGACACGGCCCAGACUCCUACGGAGGCAGAGGUGGGGAAAAGUGCACAAUGGGCGAAAGCCUGAUGCAGACAUGCCGCGUGUAUGAAGAAGGCCUUCGUGUUGUAAAGUACUUUUGGCAGAGAAGCGGUAUCUGCAGAAUAAGCACCGGCUAACUACGUGCCAGCAGCCGCGGUAAUAC
rnacentral:rRNA from 1 species